rnacentral:rRNA from 1 species
CAGUAGCCGCGGGAAUACGUAGGUGGCAAGCGUUGUCCGGAAUUAUUAGGCGUAAAGGGCUCGCAGGCGGUUUCUUAAGUCUGAUGUGAAAGCCCCCGGCUCAACCGGGGAGGGUCAUUGGAAACUGGGAAACUUGAGUGCAGAAGAGGAGAGUGGAAUUCCACGUGUAGCGGUGAAAUGCGUAGAGAUGUGGAGGAACACCAGUGGCGAAGGCGACUCUCUGGUCUGUAACUGACGCUGAGGAGCGAAAGCGUGGGGAGCGAACAGGAUUAGAUACCCCAGUAGUCCCUGUCUCUUAUAC